rnacentral:rRNA from 1 species
UACGUAGGGGGCGAGCGUUGUCCGGAUUCACUGGGCGUAAAGCGCGCGUAGGCGGCUCGUUAAGUCGGAUGUGAAAACCCGGGGCUCAACCCCGGGCCUGCACCCGAUACUGGCGAGCUGGAGGCAGGUAGGGGAGAUCGGAAUUCCCGGUGUAGCGGUGAAAUGCGCAGAUAUCGGGAGGAACACCGGUGGCGAAGGCGGAUCUCUGGGCCUGUCCUGACGCUCAGGCGCGAAAGCUAGGGGAGCAAACAGG